rnacentral:rRNA from 1 species
ACAUGCAAGUCGAACGGAAAUUAGCCUCGGUUAAUUUUAGUGGCGGACGGGUGAGUAACACGUGAGAAUUUGCCUUUAGGAGGGGGAUAACUAGUGGAAACACUAGCUAAAACCCCAUAUGCCCACGGGUGAAACAGAGGAAUAGGGUUAAACCAUAACUCCUCUGCCAGAAGAGAAGCUCGCGGCUGAUUAGCUAGUUGGUAGGGUAAUGGCCUACCAAGGCGACGAUCAGUAGCUGGUCUGAGAGGACGAUCAGCCACACUGGAACUGAGACACGGUCCAGACUCCUACGGGAGGCAGCAGUGAGGAAUUUUCUGCAAUGGGCGAAAGCCUGACAGAGCAAUACCGCGUGAGGGAAGAAGGCUUACUGAGUUGUAAACCUCGGUGCCUUAAGGAAGAAGAUCUGACGGUACUUAAGGUGGAAAGCAUCGGCUGACCCCGUGCCAGCAGCCGCGGUAAGACGGGGGAUGCAAGUGUUAUCCGGAAUUACUGGGCGUAAAGCGUCUGUAGGUGGUUUCUUAAGUCCACUGUUAAACCUUGAGGCUCAACCUCAAAUCUGCAGUGGAAACUAGGGAACUUGAGGAUAGUAGGGGUAGAGGGAAUUUCCAGUGGAGCGGUGAAAUGCGUAGAUAUUGGAAAGAACACCGAUGGCGAAGGCACUCUACUGGGCUAUGACUGACACUCAGAGACGAAAGCUAGGGGAGCAAAUGGGAUUAGAUACCCCAGUAGUCCUAGCCGUAAACGAUGGAUACUCGAUGUUGGACGUAUCGACCCGUUCAGUAUCUUAGCUAACGCGUUAAGUAUCCCGCCUAGGGAGUACGCUCGCAAGAGUGAAACUCAAAGGGAAUUGACGGGGGGCCCGCACAAGCGGUGGGAGGAUGUGGUUUAAUUUCGAUGCAACGCGAAGAACCUUACCAGGGUUUGCUAAAAGUGUUGGGUUUUCUGAAAAGAAUUCCUUAUUCCGCUUUUACAGGUGGUGCAUGGCUGUCGUCAGCUCG